GGACUGUUGAAGGACAUAAUAGAAAGAGACCAAAGCUAGUUUUGAAGUAUCUCCUGUCCUAGUUUUUUAUUGAUUACCAUCGCAUUGUAAAAAAAGAAUGACCCUGGUGCCUAACCAAGCUCACAUUGGAGAUACAAUAGAUAAUUAUAUGCCGAAGUGAUCAUCUCAGCAUCAUGUGCCACAAAAUAGAUUAAAAUGAGGACAGAAUGAGAGCUUGUUAGAUUCUUAUUCCAUCUCCACAUAACAACAAAACACAAUUGUCCACUGAUCUUCUA
rnacentral:misc_RNA from 1 species